UAGUUUCUCCAGUGGUGGUUCUUCCAUGGGAGUUGGGGGAUAGCUUUUGCCCCUGGGCCAGAGAGUUCUGUUUCUCACCUCCAAAGCUACCUUGGCUUGAACAAACAACUCAUUCCACCACUUUUGUGUUUUCUGCCAUUCCAGAAUUUGAUUUGAGCUUUUAUGUUAAGAUUCUUUUGAGGGAAAUGCUAGAUUGGCUCUUCUCCUAGAAGUCUACAGAGAACAAAGUGAAGCCGACCAAAUUGAAAUCAGAAUGCUGGGGUACUCUGAUGAGAAGAAACCUAUUGUUUUACAGCAUUAAUUGAAACAAAUUCAGCUCAGGGAACCAUCUAUCAAAUUCAGUUCAAAUAAGUGGAAAAAUGUCAGAUGUGAUGUGGGUCUUGUACUAGCAUUAUAUUUGAAAUGAUAAAUAACUUUGAAGCACAAUACUAGCUAUCUCUCUCAGAUAUGUUGGUGCCUUCAAAGAACCAUAAUUUCAUUUUUGUGAGCAUGUCUUCAACAGAUACAGAUCAAAACAUCUCCCCUUUUUCUCACAUGUCCUCUGUGAUAGAUACUCCUUGAAUAUCAUUUCCAAAGAAGUAAAAAUGAAGAUAAUCACACAGGACACAAUGGGAUGGUUCAUUGUUGGUGAUUAGACUACAAAAGGAAACCACUGAAGAACGUUGAAGAACAGGAGAAAAAAAUCUAUAAAUGAACUGUAAAAUAAGAAAUGAUAAUCAUUCAUGAAAUAAGUGCAAGAGAUGAAAGAUAAACAGGCAAAGGUAUUCUCUUGUAGCAUUGGGAUGUCAAGAAAAAGCCAGGAAGACCUUUACCUUCUUGGAUGAAGUUUAUGUGGUUAACUAAGAGGAAAAUAUGAGCAAGAUCUAAGAUAGCUAUUAUCAGGAAUGGAUGGGCAGUGAUCUCUAUAUUUGGACAGAACAACCAGAUACAAGGUCACAGAUCCAUUGAACUAUGAUUAAUCCUAGAAGCUUUUAUGCAAUUUAUUGUAGAAAUUCUUUUCUUGUUCUUUAAGUAUCUUGACUGUCAACAUUUUACAUAUCAUGAUAAGCUUCUUUUUCUUCUUUGGGAACAAGAAUACCUUUGCCUAAGGAAGAAGAAAAUACCAUGGAAUCUCUUUAAUAAGAUUUGUAAUCAAUAACGAGUUUGCCAAUAAGGUCCCCUCAAUUCUAUUCCCAUCAAUAAUCAAAUGAGAUAAGCUUACUAGGUCAAACUACAAAUGUAACAAGUGUAUAAAGAAUGCAUACUACAUAAAUUAUGACAUGCAACAGGAUGGGUACCCCAUUAAGUAAGUAAGUAUUCAUGUUAUUCUUCACAGGCUUCAUAGCAGGGCACUUCUGAAGAACAAUGAGCCAGACACAGAACUGAAAAAGUGGAAGGAAUUAGAUUGGCUUUCAUUUGGGAGACUACUUUAUUGCAAUGAUUACCAACUGCUCCCUGACACUUAAAUCUUUCUUUUGAGCAACAAUCUUCUCUCAGGGCUCCUAUUUUCCUAUAACACAUUUUUCAAACAAAACAGAAUUGUAGUAGCCCAAAAUAAACAUGAGAUGUGCAUAUUUAAA